rnacentral:misc_RNA from 1 species
UCAUAGGAUUUUAGAGAGUAGUGCAUUGCAUUCGUAGUUCAAAAUUAUGUGGUAAUCUGGAAAAUUUUAUUUUGGAAAUUUGUUGGAUGAAUUCAAAAUGGUCAAUUGAGGAAAUUUAAUCAAAGGAUAACAAAUUGUUGGCUAUAGGUUUUGUGACUAGAAUUUCCAAUGUGUUCCAAUCUUCAUGUUGUAAUGAUUAUUAAAUUUUCUGAUUUGAUUAGUUCCUAGUUUUAUGCACACAUCGACAUUGAUGAGACAUUGUUAAUGAAAUCAUAGAAGUGAAGGAAUGCUGAAAAAUAGUGUCUAAUUUAAGCUAUGAAUUUAAUUUGUGCUCUUGCAUAUGUUGAUUAUGCUUCUCUUCCAAUAAGGUCAGUAGGGGUGGCCAUAGUUUAGGAACUUCCGGUUAUGGUUCCUGAAUUGAUGGUGCAGGAUCAAUGAAAUAAUGAACUUGAACUAAACUGCCAUGUGACGGUUUGGAAGACAGUUUCCGAACUGCUGCUUUCGGUUCGACUUCGGUUUAAAACGUUUGAAGGACAGUUCGAAAAAAGACAGCUCAAGAUGAUAUAGAGGGUAGUUUAAGG